rnacentral:rRNA from 1 species
GACGAACGCUGGCGGCGUGCUUAACACAUGCAAGUCGAACGAUGAAGCCGGAGCUUGCUCUGGUGAAUUAGUGGCGAACGGGUGAGUAACACGUGAGUAACCUGCCCUUGACUCUGGGAUAACUGCGGGAAACUGUAGCUAAUACCGGAUACGACCCUCGGAGGCAUCUCCUGGGGGUGGAAAGAAUUUCGGUCAAGGAUGGACUCGCGGCCUAUCAGCUAGUUUGUGAGGUAAAGGCUCACCAAGGCGACGACGGGUAGCCGGCCUGCGAGGGUGACCGGCCACACUGGGACUGAUACACGGCCCAGACUCCUACGGGAGGCAGCAGUGGGGAAUAUUGCACAAUGGGCGCAAGCCUGAUGCAGCAACGCCGCGUGAGGGAUGACGGCCUUCGGGUUGUAAACCUCUUUUAGCAGGGAAGAAGCGAAAGUGACGGUACCUGCAGAAAAAGCACCGGCUAACUACGUGCCAGCCGCCGCCGUAA